CCUACGGGCGGCUGCAGUGGGGAAUCUUGCGCAAUGGGCGAAAGCCUGACGCAGCGACGCCGCGUGGGUGACGAAGGCCUUCGGGUCGUAAAACCCUGUUGCAGGGGACGAAGGAAGUGACGGUACCCUGCCAGAAAGCCCCGGCUAACUACGUGCCAGCAGCCGCGGUAAAACGUAGGGGGCGAGCGUUGUCCGGAAUUACUGGGCGUAAAGGGCUCGUAGGCGGUAACUCAAGUCAGUUGUGAAAACCGACGGCUUAACCGGAGGAUUGCAGUUGAUACUGGGUUACUUGAGGCAAGGAGAGGAAGGUGGAAUUCCCGGUGUAGCGGUGAAAUGCGUAGAUAUCAGGAGGAACACCGGUGGCGAAGGCGGCUUUCUGGACUGACCCUGACGCUGAGACGCGAAAGCGUGGGGAGCAAACAGGAUUAGAUACCCCUGUAGUC
rnacentral:rRNA from 1 species